rnacentral:rRNA from 1 species
AGAGUUUGAUCCUGGCUCAGAACGAACGCUGGCGGCAUGGAUUAGGCAUGCAAGUCGAACGCGUGUAGUAAUACACGAGAGGCGCAAGGGUGAGGAACACGUGAGUAAGCUGCCCUUUAGUUGGGAAUAACUCUACGAAAGUGGAGCUAAUACCGAAUGUGACCAGCACCUCGCAUGAGGAGGUGGUUAAAGAUUUAUUGCUAAAGGAUGUGCUCGCGUCCCAUUAGCUAGUUGGUGAGGUAACGGCUCACCAAGGCAAUGACGGGUAGGUGGUCUGAGAGGAUGGUCACCCACACUGGGACUGAGAACUGCCCAGACUCCUACGGGAGGCUGCAGUCGAGAAUCUUCCGCAAUGGGCGAAAGCCUGAUGGAGCAAUGCCGCGUGCAGGAUGAAGGCCUUCGGGUCGUAAACUGCUGUCACCGGGGAUGAAUAAUGAUAGUACCCGGGGAGGAAGUCACGGUUAACUACGUGCCAGUAGUUGUGGUAAUACGUAGGUGACGAGCGUUGUUCGGAAUUAUUGGGCGUAAAGGGUUCGUAGGAUGUUUAUUAAGAUUGGUGUGAAAUUCCAAGGCUUAACCUUGGAACUGCAUUGAUUACUGAUGAACUAGAGUAUCGUAGAGGAAAGCGGAAUUCCAGGUGUAGCGGUGGAAUGCGUAGAUAUCUGGAAGAAUAUCGAUAGUGAAGGUAGCUUUCUGGGCGAUAACUGACUCUGAGGAACGAAAGCAUGGGGAGUAAACAGGAUUAGAUACCCUGGUAGUCCAUGCCGUAAACGUUGUGUGCUUGGUCCGAGCGGAUUCAACCCUGUUCGGAUCGGAGUUAAUAUGUUAAGCACACCGCCUGGGGAGUACGGUCGCAAGACUAAAACUCAAAGGAAUUGAUGG